AUUACCCAUGACUUCUCUAGACUCUCAUCAAAAGAAACGCAAGCCUACAGAGGUAUAAUAAGAUUAUCUGUGUCCUGAUUGGUUCAAAGAACUCUUAUGAAAACAAAGGACCUGCCAAUUCAGCUGCAGGGAGUGUUGCUACUGAUGGAACAAAACCAAACCACUUGGAAUUAACGCACAAUUUAAAGAGAUGGGGUUUGACCUUGUUGUCCAGGCUGGUUUCAAACUCCUGAGUUCAAGCAAUCUACCCACCCUUCAAAGUGUUGGGAUCACAGGUGACUCUUAGAAUCAUCUAGUCAAAAUGGAAUUGUGACUAUAUUUUACCAUUACAACAUAGAUGGAGAUUUUCAUCUAUUAAUAAAAGAUGUUCUCUAUUCACAAAUGGAAAUGGAGCAACAGUACACAAUUUCUGCCCCAGAAUUCAUGGCUGGUGCAGGUAAAAAGCUCUUUACAGAUUGCUAGUCAAUCCAUUUGCUUUACCUAAAAAGUUCAUUUAUAUAGUUUUAAAUGGUUUGCAGAAGUCGUUUGAAAAGUACUCUUGAAGUUUCAUGUCUUUUCCUCAAAACUUGACAGUCUUGGGAGUGACAAAAAGGGAGAAAAUAUACAAACAUAUGUGAUAUAUUCAUAGCUGGACUUAAACAAUGAUAAAAGA